rnacentral:rRNA from 1 species
UACAGAGGUCUCAAGCGUUGUUCGGAUUCAUUGGGCGUAAAGGGUGCGUAGGCGGCGCGGUAAGUCGGGGUGUGAAAUCUCGGAGCUUUAACUCCGAAACUGCAUUCGAUACUGCCGUGCUUGAGGACUGGAGAGGAGACUGGAAUUUACGGUGUAGCGGUGAAAUGCGUAGAUAUCGUAAGGAAGACCAGUGGCGAAGGCGGGUCUCUGGACAGUUCCUGACGCUGAGGCACGAAGGCCCAGGGGAGCAAACGGG